rnacentral:rRNA from 1 species
UACGAAGGGGGCUAGCGUUGCUCGGAAUUACUGGGCGUAAAGGGCGCGUGGGCGGCUCUGUUAGUCAGGCGUGAAAGCCCUGGGCUCAACCUGGGGACUGCGCUUGAUACGGCGGGGCUUGAGGGCAGGAGAGGCUCGCGGAAUUCCCAGUGUAGAGGUGAAAUUCGUAGAUAUUGGGAAGAACACCGGUGGCGAAGGCGGCGAGCUGGCCUGUUACUGACGCUGAGGCGCGACAGCGUGGGGAGCAAACAGG